rnacentral:rRNA from 1 species
GACGAACGCUGGCGGCGUGCCUAAUACAUGCAAGUAGAACGCACAGUUUAUACCGUAGCUUGCUACACCAUAGACUGUGAGUUGCGAACGGGUGAGUAACGCGUAGGUAACCUGCCUGGUAGCGGGGGAUAACUAUUGGAAACGAUAGCUAAUACCGCAUAAUAUUAAUUAUUGCAUGAUAAUUAAUUGAAAGGUGCAAUUGCACCACUACCAGAUGGACCUGCGUUGUAUUAGCUAGUAGGUGAGGUAACGGCUCACCUAGGCGACGAUACAUAGCCGACCUGAGAGGGUGAGCGGCCACACUGGGACUGAGACACGGCCCAGACUCCUACGGGAGGCAGCAGUAGGGAAUCUUCGGCAAUAGACGAAAGUCUGACCGAGCAACGCCGCGUGAGUGAAGAAGGUUUUCGGAUCGUAAAGCUCUGUUGUAAGAGAAGAACGGGUGUGAGAGUGGAAAGUUCACACUGUGACGGUAUCUUACCAGAAAGGGACGGCUAACUACGUG